GCCAUGGAUAUCUGAAUGAUUGGUAAGGUCCAUGUGGAGGUUCCCAUGUUGCAAAUCCCAUCUUCAGACAAGAAAAAAAAAUGAACAAGAGAGGAGAGGAAAUGGUUAUGGCGUGUUGAUGGGUGAAAGAAAACUUAUGGAGAUUUGGGAAUUUACAUUACCAGAGUAUCUUCUUGGCUGGUAGAUUGGACGGCGGACCGGUAACCACUGUAAACCGCAUCAUCAGCAACCGCCUCAUAGACGAGAAUUUUCGAGGGGAUCCUAUCGUAUGCCACACAAUCGAGGUUAGAAUGUGAACCUUC